AUUGAACGCUGGCGGCAGGCCUAACACAUGCAAGUCGAACGAGUGGCGGACGGGUGAGUAAUGUCUGGGAAACUGCCUGGUGGAGGGGGAUAACUACUGGAAACGGUAGCUAAUACCGCAUACCAUCGGAUGUGCCCAGAUGGGAUUAGCUAGUAGGUGGGGUAAAGGCUCACCUAGGCGACGAUCCCUAGCUGGUCUGAGAGGAUGACCAGCCACACUGGAACUGAGACACGGCCCAGACUCCUACGGGAGGCAGCAGUGGGGAAUUUUGCACAAUGGGCGCAAGCCUGAUGCAGCCAUGCCGCGUGUAUGAAGAAGGCCUUCGGGUUGUAAAGUACUUUCAGCGGAGAGGCGUUACCCGCAGAAGAAGCACCGGCUAACUCCGUGCCAGCAGCCGCGGUAAUAC
rnacentral:rRNA from 1 species